rnacentral:rRNA from 1 species
UACGGAGGGAGCUAGCGUUGUUCGGAAUUACUGGGCGUAAAGCGCACGUAGGCGGCUAUUCAAGUCGGGGGUGAAAGCCCGGGGCUCAACCCCGGAACUGCCCUCGAAACUAGAUAGCUAGAAUCUUGGAGAGGUCAGUGGAAUUCCGAGUGUAGAGGUGAAAUUCGUAGAUAUUCGGAAGAACACCAGUGGCGAAGGCGGCCCACUGGAUCGGUACUGACGCUGAGGUGCGAAAGCGUGGGGAGCAAACAGG